AUGUGGAGGAAGGAAAAGAAGUAUUUUAGGGACCUGCGGCUGCAGAUGGCGAUGGAGGAGAGCAAGAGGGAGAUGGGGGCAAGGAGGAGUCAUCCCUCAUAGAUCUUGCUGACGUCUUCACAGCCCCAGCUCCUCCGGCGACCACAGACCCCUGGGGGUCCCCAGCACCCAUGGCUGCUGCCACCCCCAUGGCUGCCCCACCUCGGACCCCUGGGGUGGCCCUCCUGUCCCUCCAGCUGCUGAUCCCUGGGGGCUUCCAGCCCCCACAUCAACCUCUGGGGACCCCUGGAGGCCUGCUGCCCCUGCAGGACCCCCAGUUGACCCUUGGGGUGGGACCCCAGCCCCUGUGGCUGGAGAGAGGCCCACGCUGGAUCCAUGGGGAAGCUCCGAUGGUGGGGCCCCAUCAGUAGACCCUCCGCCUCCGAUCCCUGGACACCGGCCCCGGCCUUCUCGGAUCCCUGAGGAGGGUCACCUGCAAAGCCCAGCACCAAUGGCACCACAGCUGGGGGCUUCCACACGGAGCCCGACAAGUUCUCCGACUUCCACCGAAUCCGAAUGGCCCUGCUGACCCCCGGGACCAGCGCGGGGGAGCUGGAGCUGCUGGUAGGAGGGGUGCCGGCCUGAAGCCCUGGGGCGUUUGACCUGAGUGGGGUCAGGGGAUCUCUGGCCGAGGCUGUGCGCAACCCGCCACCUGCAGCCACGCCAACUCCCAUGCCCCCAACCCAGAAGACACUGGAGUCAUUCCUGGGACCCAAUGCAGCCCUCGCCGACCUGGACUCGCUGGUGAUCCGGCCAGGCCCCAGCCGCCUGGAGCCAAGGCCUCCAACCCCUUCCUGUCAGGCGGAGGCCCAGCCCCAGCCCCUCCGUCACCAACCCCUUCCAGCCCGCACCCCCCGCGACGCUCACCUUGAACCAGCUCCGUCUCAGUCCUGUGCCUCCUGUCGCUGGAGUGCCACCUGUAUACAUCUCUCCCCUUGGUGGGGGACCUUGCCUGCCCCCAUGAUGCCCCCGGGUCCCUUGGCCAACACUAACCCCUUUCUCCUAUAAUCCAGGGCAGGAGGGGGACCUGGCCCCGCCCGGCCGCCCCCAUUCCGGCUCUCUGGUAGAUCAGUGUUGUGAGUGCAUGUGAAAUGGGGGUGCGCCCUCCCAGUGCCCUUCCCCGUCCUGGGGCCCACUCACACUACACCCUCUUCCCUUUCCCACCCUGCCUCCCAGGAGGGAAACUGGACAUGGGGCCUGGGGAGGGAGCUGGCCAGAGGAAGACCCUUUCCCGUGGCAUUAGAAGGGGAGGGGUGGCUGGGGCCCCACAUGUUCCCCUCCCUCAAAUUCCCAACCCCAGUCAGUGUUUGAGCCUCCUCGUUCCCCUCACACAACCUCGGUGAACCCUUGGUGAUGAUUUUGGCGACUUUGGGAAUAAAUGGCACUCCCAUGGG